ensembl:lncRNA
GAGGGCGCCACACUCCUUUAUUGCUCCCCCAGUCUGGCUUCCAGAUUUCAGAGGCUCAGGUAAAGGGGGUGGGCACUUUCUAGAUUCUCACAAUCGCCGCAUUGCAAAUGACUCAGAGGCAUCACGUUGCCUGUUGGGGAGCUUGACGGUUUUAGGAGGGAAAACUCAGCUGUCCUGACAAAGGCUCUUUGAUCAAAUGACCAGCUUUUGUACUGAACCACAGACGGCAAGCAAGAGUUUCCUUCUUGAUUCCUAUUCCAUUUUAUGACUCAAAAAUAAUUUCCUCCUUUUCCGAGGACCGCAUCCACCCCAUCUGGGAUCUUUUGUGGCAUAGAGAUCCAGGAAAAAAAAAAAGUGCAUCUGAAAAAGUGGAUCCUUUCUCUAAAAAGAGCCUGUUUACAGACCUGUUAAUCUUGGGUGCAGCUGUACUACGCCAAGAAAAUCCACCAAGACAUUUAUCUUUCUUGGUGCUGCUGGUCAUUCAAAGGAAAACAGGACGGAAGCCCUCAGCCACACAGGGAUUGGACCACUGUCCUCUGCCCCAUGGGCUGGACAGGCGGUCCAAGGACAGACCUUCCAUCAGCACAGCUCUCACUGUCCAUGGGUGAGCGAAAAGCUGCUCAGAACACUACCUGGGGGAGCCCAGCCCAGGAGUCCUUGCAGAUGGAUCUUAACUCUCCCACCAGGGGAGCAAGGGGAGGUGUUAUGCAAUGGUGUGGCCAUCCUCCUGGAGCUCCCCCGCAGAGGGCCUGGCUCCACGGGUGCUGCUGCCGAACUGGGUGAUGGAGAGGUGUUCUUCAGGUCAGGGCUUCCCAUGGCUUCCUUUUUAAAUGGAACCACUUCUCACGUUCGCCAAAUACGAACUUUAAGGGCAACAGCCACGUACUAUUCUUCUCCUUCUUUUAAAUUUAGCCCUGUUGCAAGGCAUAGGGCUUCCCUGGUGGCUCAGACAGUAAAGAAUCUGCCUGCAAUGAAGGAGACUCAGGGUCGAUCCCUGGGUUGGGAAGAUCCCCUGGGGAGGGGAAUGGCAACCGCUCCAGUAACCUUGCCUGGAGAAUUCCAUGGACAGAGGAGCCUGGUGGGCUACAGUCCAGCAGGUCACCAAGAGUCGGAUACGACUGAGGACUAAUACUUUCACUUUGUGAGGUGUGUGGGAUCUUAAUUCCCCAACCAGGUACUGAACAUGAGCCCUCGGCAGUGAAAGUACAGAGUCUUAACCAUCAUAUCACCAGGGGAUUCCCUAUUCUGAUCAUUUUUUAAAAGAAAACUCUUCCCAGGAAAUUGUUUACUCUCAGAAUGAAUGACCAGUGUAUGUUUAUUUAUUUAUUUUUGGCUUCGUGGUGCGGCUUGUAGGAUCUUAGUUCCCCAAUCUGGGAUCGAACCCAUGCCCCUGCAGUGGAAGCUUGGAGUCUUAACCACUGGACCACCAGAGAAAUCCCCGGAUGGCCUUUCAGUGAAAUACAGCUUGCUUUAUGAAACACUUGGCACACUUCCCCUGGUAUUUUUGCAUUUCCCUGCUCAUCUGUGACCCUGUUGUCAGGCUCCAGUGUGCCCUGCAGACCUGGCGCCUCUCUCCCACCUUCCCUCCUCUCCCUUGGGUCCUGUGUCUACCUCUGGUGGGACUUGGCAUUGGUUUUUCACCAAGACACUUACUUGCAUUGCAUGUCUCUGCGUGCUUAUCCUAGCACAUCUCCCCAUGGCACCUCCAAACCGGCCUCAUUACCUUGAAUGGCAGUGGGUGGGGGUGCUGCUCAGAGUGGCUAAGCCAGUGGCAUCCAACUUGGAAGUUUCCCAGCUUCCUCUACUAACCUGUGACCAAAUGGGUAUGGGACAGAAAUAUGCAGAUGAGGGAGAAAGUCUGGAUUUGCAUUGAAAACCUUUGAAGCGUUCCAAGAAGAAACCAAGUUUGAGUCAAACACUGAAGGGUCAGGAACCUACCAAAAUUUUCAGCAAGUUCAUAAUCCCUCUACAGAGACAAGGCACACUGAGAAUUUAUCACCCCUGGGGGCUGAGGACCAGGUGAUGCCCCUGGAGAUGCUCCCUUAGGAGCACAGCCCAGACCCGCUGGUCCAGAGCAUCCUUCAGCUCUGGCCUUGAUGCCACUGGGCUCUUCUUGUUCAUAACUCAGA